UUCAGGAAACAACCCCCAACCCAGGUGGCAAUGAGCUUGCUGCAGGCAGCCAUCCACCCCAAAACUGAUGCUAAAAACUUUCUUUCCUGGCUUCGCGUAGCCUCCGACAUCAGCAGAUAUGAGUUCCCCUGGGCUUUGCUUCCAUCGCCAAUGGAUGUCCAGAGCCACGUAUACAUUUGUGUCACCUUUGCACCUAAGAUGGGCAGUGCAAGGAGAAAAUUUGUUGAAGAGAUUUGUGUUUCAGGGGCCCAGUUCCUCCUUCACACAAUGCAGGGAAAAACAUUCAGCUUCUAGAGAGAUACCAGAAACAAAAUACAUGUUCCUCAAGCACUGCAUUAGUGAUAAUAAAGUAUGCAAAUAAGUCAGUUACUAUCAUAGUGCCCUGCGUGCAUCAGCAGGCUCUAAUCACCCUGAUGAGCCUCGCCUGGGCCACCAGCCCUUUGCCCAGGGCUGUAUUUAAGCUCAGGCCCUUAACCCUGCUCUUCUUUUGGAGCAGUGCUGUGUAUGUGCUGUGCCUUGCUCUUUGCUGUCUCCAGCCUGACUGCCUGCUGUGGUCUUGGCACUUCCUCACCCUCGUGGACUUGCCUGGUGGUCUGCAGGUCCUGCUCUGCUUUCUGUGCUUGGGUGGCUCUAGCUCAGCCCCUUCUGCAGAGCAUCCCACUUGCUGUACCCAGCAGCACUUCUGAAUGUCAGCCAUCUGAAUGCAAUGCCAUGGGGAACGAAGUUGGCUGUCACCUCUCCCUUGCUGAUAGUGAGCAGCUACCUGCACACCCAGCGUUCAGCUGGGGUUGGGUUCUGGUGCCUGCUUCAUGCUGACUUCUGGCUCUUUCUGUAGAAGACUGCUGUAUACCUAGACAAACUUAUCUGAACAAG